rnacentral:lncRNA from 1 species
CAAUAAUGGGGAGAUAUUUGAAAUAAAAAGUUCAUUGAUAUCAGGUCAAUAGUGUCUCGAAAUUAUCGAAGUGAGAACAGUAGUGCAUAAAUUGGAGCAGUAAUUAUUU